UACGUAGGGCGCAAGCGUUAUCCGGAAUUAUUGGGCGUAAAGAGCUCGUAGGCGGUUUGUCGCGUCUGCCGUGAAAGUCCGGGGCUCAACUCCGGAUCUGCGGUGGGUACGGGCAGACUAGAGUGUGGUAGGGGAGAUUGGAAUUCCUGGUGUAGCGGUGGAAUGCGCAGAUAUCAGGAGGAACACCAAUGGCGAAGGCAGAUCUCUGGGCCGUAACUGACGCUGAGGAGCGAAAGCAUGGGGAGCGAACAGG
rnacentral:rRNA from 1 species